rnacentral:rRNA from 1 species
CCUACGGGCGGCAGCAGUGAGGAAUAUUGGUCAAUGGGCGCGAGCCUGAACCAGCCAAGUAGCGUGAAGGAUGACUGCCCUACGGUUUGUAAACUUCUUUUAUAAAGGAAUAAAGUGAGGCACGUGUGCCUUUAUGUAUGUACUUUAUGAAUAAGGAUCGGCUAACUCCGUGCCAGCAGCCGCGGUAAUACGGAGGAUCCGAGCGUUAUCCGGAUUUAUUGGGUUUAAAGGGAGCGUAGAUGGGUUGUUAAGUCAGUUGUGAAAGUUUGCGGCUCAACCGUAAAAUUGCAAUUGAUACUGGCAGUCUUGAGUACAGUUGAGGUAGGCGGAAUUCGUGGUGUAGCGGUGAAAUGCUUAGAUAUCACGAAGAACUCCGAUUGCGAAGGCAGCUUACUAAACUGCCACUGACAUUGAUGCUCGAAAGUGUGGGUAUCAAACAGGAUUAGAUACCCCAGUAGUC